UACGUAGGGCGCAAGCGUUGUCCGGAAUUAUUGGGCGUAAAGAGCUCGUAGGCGGCUUGUCACGUCGGGUGUGAAAGCCCGGGGCUUAACCCCGGGUCUGCAUUCGAUACGGGCUAGCUAGAGUGUGGUAGGGGAGAUCGGAAUUCCUGGUGUAGCGGUGAAAUGCGUAGAUAUCGGUAGGAACACCAGUGGCGAAGGCGGUCUCCUGGGGCAUUCUUGACGCUGAGGCGCGAAAGCUGGGGGAGCAAACGGG
rnacentral:rRNA from 1 species